rnacentral:miRNA from 1 species
GUCCAUCUUUCACUUUUGUUUAGUCGUUCUAAGCUCUCCCAAAUCCUCUUUCACAAUUUGUGAAAGAGAGAAGAGAGAAGAUAAGGGUUGAGAGAGACUAGAAAAUUGUGAAAGAGGAUUUGGGAGAGCUCAGAACGACUAAACAAAAGUG